CCUACGGGGGGCUGCAGUGGGGAAUUUUGGACAAUGGGCGGAAGCCUGAUCCAGCCAUUCCGCGUGAGUGAAGAAGGCCUUCGGGUUGUAAAGCUCUUUCGCAAGGGAAGAAAACUUAGUUACUAAUAUUAACUGAGGUUGACGGUACCUUGAUAAGAAGCACCGGCUAACUACGUGCCAGCAGCCGCGGUAAUACGUAGGGUGCGAGCGUUAAUCGGAAUUACUGGGCGUAAAGCGUGCGCAGGCGGUUUUGUAAGUCAGAUGUGAAAUCCCCGAGCUCAACUUGGGAACUGCGCUUGUUACUGCACGGCUAGAGUAUGGCAGAGGGGGGUGGAAUUCCACGUGUAGCAGUGAAAUGCGUAGAGAUGUGGAGGAACACCGAUGGCGAAGGCAGCCCCCUGGGCCAAUACUGACGCUCAUGCACGAAAGCGUGGGGAGCAAACAGGAUUAGAUACCCCUGUAGUC
rnacentral:rRNA from 1 species